GAUGAACGCUGGCGGCGUGCCUAAUACAUGCAAGUCGAGCGAAUGGAUUAAGAGCUUGCUCUUAUGAAGUUAGCGGCGGACGGGUGAGUAACACGUGGGUAACCUGCCCAUAAGACUGGGAUAACUCCGGGAAACCGGGGCUAAUACCGGAUAACAUUUUGAACCGCAUGGUUCGAAAUUGAAAGGCGGCUUCGGCUGUCACUUAUGGAUGGACCCGCGUUGCAUUAGCUAGUUGGCGGGGUAACGGCUCACCAAGGCAACGAUGCGUAGCCGACCUGCGAUGGUGAUCGGCCACUCGCGGACUGAGACACGGCCCAGACUACUACGGGAGGCAGCAGUAGGGAAUCUUCCGCAAUGGACGAAAGUCUGACGGAGCAACGCCGCGUGAGUGAUGAAGGCUUUCGGGUCGUAAAACUCUGUUGUUAGGGAAGAACAAGUGCUAGUUGAAUAAGCUGGCACCUUGACGGUACCUAACCAGAAAGCCACGGCUAACUACGUGCCAGCCGCCGCGGUAA
rnacentral:rRNA from 1 species